rnacentral:rRNA from 1 species
GACGUAGGGCGCGAGCGUUGUCCGGAUUUAUUGGGCGUAAAGAGCUCGUAGGCGGCUUGUCGCGUCGACCGUGAAAACUCGCAGCUCAACCGCGAGCCUGCGGUCGAUACGGGCAGGCUAGAGUUCGGUAGGGGAGACUGGAAUUCCUGGUGUAGCGGUGAAAUGCGCAGAUAUCAGGAGGAACACCGGUGGCGAAGGCGGGUCUCUGGGCCGAUACUGACGCUGAGGAGCGAAAGCCAGGGGAGCAAACGGG